AUACAGAACAAUGUAUACGGUUUUAUUCUUCUGAAGUUUGCAAAUAUGGAAUGUUGACACUUUAUAUCCUGUUAAAUUGUACGGGUGUUCUAUAUUACAAUAAUGUGUGUACUGUUCUUCAUUAAUCUCUUUUACUUUUUUUCUUGCAGGAAUUCUAUAACUGUUGCCAACAUUGAAGACAUCAACCAAUGUUGACUUUCUCCAUUUAAAUACUCAAGCAUUCUGUUCUGAUUGUAAUGGAUUGCAACUUCCCAAAACGCUGGCUAGCACUGGGUUACAAAUGAUUAAUUAGUGUCGUUAUUUUUCUGUUAAUGCUCGAGAAAGGAAUGGUCGACCGCCGUAGUAUUGUCUAGUAUUACAGAUCCAAUGGUGCUUCAAGCAUUAAAGCCCGAUAAUUAAG